GGCAAUUCAGGGUCUCUGAUCUAAGGGUCAGAUUUAAGUGACUUGAUUAAGAAAUUAUGAAGCACAGAUUAAAUCAAGAUCAAUCAAUAGAGUUUAUUAAUCAUGAAUUUGAAAGAUACUUGAUAUGAUCAAAUAAGGUUGACAUACAGCACGGAUAUCAAAGCAACUUCGAAUCAUCUUGUUAUAGUCAAUAUGAGCUCCUAAA
rnacentral:lncRNA from 1 species